UACGUAGGGUCCGAGCGUUGUCCGGAAUUAUUGGGCGUAAAGGGCUCGUAGGCGGUUUGUCGCGUCGGGAGCGAAAACACGGGGCUUAACCCCGUGCCUGCUUCCGAUACGGGCAGACUAGAGGUAUGCAGGGGAGAACGGAAUUCCUGGUGUAGCGGUGAAAUGCGCAGAUAUCAGGAGGAACACCGGUGGCGAAGGCGGUUCUCUGGGCAUUACCUGACGCUGAGGAGCGAAAGUGUGGGGAGCGAACAGG
rnacentral:rRNA from 1 species